GACGAACGCUGGCGGCGUGCUUAACACAUGCAAGUCGAACGGAAAGGCCCUGCUUUUGUGGGGUGCUCGAGUGGCGAACGGGUGAGUAACACGUGAGUAACCUGCCCUUGACUUUGGGAUAACUUCAGGAAACUGGGGCUAAUACCGGAUAGGAGCUCCUGCUGCAUGGUGGGUGUUGGAAAGUUUCGGCGGUUGGGGAUGGACUCGCGGCUUAUCAGCUUGUUGGUGGGGUAGUGGCUUACCAAGGCUUUGACGGGUAGCCGGCCUGAGAGGGUGACCGGACACAUUGGGAAUGAGAUACGGCCCAGACUCCUACGGGAGGCAGCAGUGGGGAAUAUUGCACAAUGGGCGGAAGCCUGAUGCAGCAACGCCGCGUGCGGGAUAACGGCCUUCGGGUUGUAAACCGCUUUCGCCUGUGACGAAGCGUGAGUGACGGUAAUGGGUAAAGAAGCACCGGCUAACUACGUG
rnacentral:rRNA from 1 species